UCCAACACAGGGGAACCCUGGGCCAACAGCUCCCUGAAUCUCCUCCAGGGCUUUGACUCGGGCCUCACUCUCAGCUGCAAGGCCUCUAACAUGCACGGGGUCCAGAGAUCCUCCAUCCUGCUGUUGCCAGGGAAGCCAGAGUUGCUGUCUGCAGCUGUUCCUGGGGCCCUAGGAGUGGCUGGUGCCCUGGCCCUGCUGUCCCUCUGCUUGUGCCUCAUUGCCAUCACCUGCAUGGUGAGAGUUCGCAGGAAGUUAGUGGCUGCAGGACCAGAGACGGUGGCCAGUG